rnacentral:lncRNA from 1 species
UGGGUUUUACAAUUUACACUUUCUAAUUUAUAAAACCAGGAGUAAAUCACAUAUAUCAGAGGUUUAGGUAGCUUCCUGCCCACGUGAAAACACAAGAACGACAGGUUAAAUUUGACCACAUGUUAUCCUAUUGAAAUAUGACAUGUGUUGUUGGACACAUGCCAAGCACAUUAUCACAUGAACAAUGAAUCAGCAGAAGGAAUUUUUAGUUAGAUAUUAAUCACAAAGGUAUCUACGAGAGCCAGGGGAGAUGGGUCUCUGAAACUCUUCUGUAAUUAGAGGGGUGAACUACGGAGAGGAUACAGUUUCCGGAAUAUCAUGAUCUCUGCCAAGUUCCUCAGGUCUGUACAUACGUUUCAUCAUGCAAUGCUGAGCCUCAGAAAACAGAAAACUGCUGCUCUUCCCUCCUCUUCUCUGCUCCUUUGUCUCUGUUUUGCUGCUGUUGAAUCUUAGAACCUGCUAUCUUGCCCAUGUUUUACAAUUUACUCUUUCUAAUUUAUAAAGCCAGGAGUAAAUCACAUACAUCAGAUAUUUUUUUCUUGCCCCAAGUUCAUUUUAAGGAACACCCCAUUUAACAAGCUUGAAGAAAAAUAAUAACAAAUAAUAGAAUAAUGAAAAUAAUUGUAGGGCCUAAGAUCAAAUCAAUUGCUUAAACUGAAUAACAAUUUAUUUUAAUCAUGUCAAAUUUUCAUGUUGGAAAAUAAUUUUUAAUAUUAAAAAUAAGUAGAGUUUAUUUUUUAUUUGACUUUAAAUAUACCAAUUAACCGUGUUUUAAAUAAUUUUGUCAUCAAAUAGAUUUAAUAUUACAUAAUUAAAUUUAGUUAAUCAAGUAAUUUAACAUAAAGAUAAAUUUAACAUAAAACUUUCUUCUUCUUUUCUUGGCAAGCCGUUGAUAUUGUCUUUUGUUUUCAUUUUAUUGGCCCACACGGUGUCUCUUAUAAUCCAUGGUUGCCUGGGCAUGCAUUUCUUCAAUCAUAGAAUAUACCAUCAGAUUAAAAAUAAAAUUAACUGAUCAUGUUAUCGGGUUUCUUAAUAAUGUUUACCCUUUCUCAUUUCCUUAUUAUUUCUUAAUAAUCCAUUGAUAUAGUAAAUACGCAAAUAACUGUUGGCACUGUCCAUCUAAGGGUAUCAUGAGUAAAUUGAAAACCAGGAACGGAAUAUUAAUGUUUAUGGAUCAAUGAAGUGAAAUUAUCUCCUGAAGCUCAAAACUAAUGAUUUUAUUUGUUCUUGUUUUUUAAGCCAUUGAUAGUGUUUUGGCAUACUCUGUCUAUAUACGUCAUCUCUGCCCUAAAUUUCUCCAUUCUAACAAGUCCAUGUUUUAAUCACUGCAUUUUCUUCCUUCUUCCUUCUUCCUUCUUCCUUCUUUUUAUAUAUAUAUGGAAACUGUCUUAUAUGCAUGUAGAUAUCUUAUUGGUUGGGUUUUACAAUUUACACUUUCUAAUUAAUUAAUUUAUAAAACCAGGAUAUAUAUAUAUAUAUAUAUACAUACUCCUGGUUUUAUAAAUUAUUUUUAGGCAACCUGUCCAAUGAGAAAAGAAACGUGAAGAAUUUCGCGAGUGGUCUAAUUGUUCCAGGCGACCUGCCCAAUAAUUGAAAAAUACGAGAUUUUUUUUUUUUAUGAUGGUAUAUUGUAAUGGGUUACCGGCCUAGAUGGUCACAUUGUAAUGGGUUACCUGCCCAGUAUAGGAUGGUAAGUUGUAAUGGGUUACUGGCCCAGAUGGUCAUAUUGUAAUGGGUUACCUGCCCAAUAUAGGAUGGUAUGUUGUAAUGGGUUACCGACCUAGAUGAUCUCAUUGUAAUGGGUUACCUACCCAGUUGGUCACAUUGUAAUGGGUUACCUGCCCAGAUGGUCACAUUGUAAUGGGUUACCGGCCCAGAUGGUCACAUUGUAAUGGGUUACCUGCCUAGUGGAAAAAUACAAGGAUUUUUCAGGAUGGUACAUUGUGAUGGGUUACCAGCCCAGAUGGUCACAUUGUAAUGGGUUACCUGCCCAGUUGGUUACAUUGUAAUGGGUUACCGGCCCAGUUGAAAAAUACGAGGAUUUUUUUUUUAUGAUGAUAGGGCUCCAAGGAAAUGAGGUGAGGGCUCGAAGGCGCACUCGAAAGGAGGUAGGAUAGGAAAUGCACUACCAUUGAUGGUCGAGGGCUUGAAGGCGCGCUCGAAAAGAAAUAAGACGAGGGCUCGAAGGCGCGCUCAA